rnacentral:rRNA from 1 species
UACGUAGGGUGCGAGCGUUGUCCGGAAUUAUUGGGCGUAAAGGGCUCGUAGGCGGUCUGUCACGUCGGGAGUGAAAACUCGGGGCUUAACCCCGAGCCUGCUUCCGAUACGGGCAGACUAGAGGUAUGCAGGGGAGAACGGAAUUCCUGGUGUAGCGGUGAAAUGCGCAGAUAUCAGGAAGAACACCCGUGGCGAAGGCGGCUCUCUGGGACGGUACUGACGCUGAGACGCGAAAGCGUGGGGAGCGAACAGG